AAUCAGUACCGCGUGCCCGGCGAGUCGGUUACUAACUAGACUGUGUGCUUAAUUGUGUCCUUGAUCUACUCAUACAUCUGCUUCCCUGAGCCACAGAGGCCAGUGAGGGGGAGGCGUGAUCUUCCCUCAUGCAAGGUGACAUCCCUCGUGACGGAGCGACCCAGGGAACACAUCUUGUCCAGAUAAGUCACACCGCUGGGGGCGCCUCUCCACAUUCCUCUCCCAUGACCUCCACACCCUGGCUGCAGGUAAUAAUAAAUUUCCAUCCGUAACUCCCCGUCUCCCCCAUCCGCCCGUGCCACCUCACCACGUCUGCGCGCGUCUGAGAGUAGGACCCUCGGCUUAAGUGGACAUUAUAAGCUUCCCUCGUGAGGGGUCCUAGUGUCUGCAUUCCUCUCCCACGACCCCCCACACGCACGGCUCCAGGCAGGACUCUCGUCAACCCUCUCUUUCCUUCCCUCUCCUUCACCCAUCUCAUCCCCCUCCUCCUCGCCCAACAAUCCACCAUCAUCUCCCUCUCCCGCCUCUCCCUGCCGUCCCUAGCCCACCAGGUCAGUGGCCCGGGACGGUGUGUUGACAGGACAAACACAGCUCUCCAGGUCCUGCGGCAGCGCGGAAGUGGGUGACGGACACGUGGGUCAGUGUGUGGCUGUCGCCCAUCACACCAGGGUUCUCGCCUUAAAUUUCAGGCGAGGGACAAGAACCUGACUAAUUGUAUUUAAACCUUCAAUUCCAGUGUUUAUUUAAGAUUUUUCAAUAUACGUACUUCAUCUUUAACGAUCAUUUUUUUUUUUUUUCGUGAGAAACCCAGAAUACUUUACACGGAUCGGCGAGCCUCGCGUGUCUCGCCUCGUAUCUCGGAUUAGCAUCGCCUGACGCUUGCCUGUUGCUUUAUGAGUCGUGUCUUGGUCGUGUCUCACCACUAAUUUACCUUCCAAGUAACGUGACCCGCCGCACUCCGUAACGGAAGUGUUUGCAAUCAUCCCUGAUUUUAGCACUAAAUAUAUUCCCCGCGUGAGAUUUAUCCUAGCUAUUCAGCGGAACCUGAUGCUGCGCCCUGGUGGGGGAGGAACGAACGAGCGGAAGACAAACAGUAAGAAAGAAAGAAAGAAAGAAAAGAAGUAAUUCGCUGUGGGAAGGGCCUUCACGUAAAAUACAGGAAGGGAAUAAAUACAAAUCGACAUCAGACGAAGCCAAGCAUUCAUCUCCUGCCUUUUGAAGUGCCUUGUUCAUUAUGGCGGCGCUCAGGGAUAAAAGCUUGUCUCAGUGAUGAAUUAUUUACACGAGCAUGAUUGAGGUUGCGGGGGCGAGGUCAACUCAUUCAUCUCACCACCUGCUCCUCCCUCAUCUCUCUCUCCCUCCUCCAGCGUCAGCCUGCCGCUCUUCCUGCCAUAGUCGCGGGGCGGGGGCGGCGUGACGAGCGUCUUGUUUGAGGCUGCGUGCUCAUCGGGGGAACAUCGUGGCGGCGAGAGCGUUGCGGUGUUCAUAAAGCACCGGACUUACGUAACGCUGGACUCUUG